AAAAGAUGUGUGCGUCUUUUCACUGUGUCUCUCUCGUCGUCGCUCCGCAAACACACACAUAUGCAAAAAAUCUCUGAGCCUCUUCUGGACACUUAUGGACAGUCUGUCUUUAUUUUCCUACUUCUCCUGCAUGCUUGUUUUUUUUUUGGGUUGGGGGAAGCAAAAUUUUACAACGCACUUGACUGCCUUGGUACUUCAAGAUUAUUGGUCUGGUCUCAUCUUUUGAAGGACCUUCCAUUUUGCCUCGACCUUGAGAAAAUGGCAGGAGACGACAUGACUGGCUGGGAAGAGGACACUCUAUGCAUCAGAGGAAGCAGCGUGGAGACUUGGUCCUGGUUUCCUAGUGCAGUGUUGUUGAAGACAUGACACCCUCCCCGGCAACGGCGGACGAACUCCUGAAGCUCCUCGCUCUCCGCCAUGUACUCCUCAAUGGGCUUCUCCCUCAGCUGGUCCCCCCAGGU